CAGAAAAUAGUAUAUAAUGAGUACAUAAAUUUUGGAUAUUUAAAGAGAAUUUCUUUUCUGA
rnacentral:tRNA from 1 species